AUUGAACACUGGCGGCAUGCUUUACACAUGCAAGUCGAGCGGAGAGAGGUAGCUUGCUACUGAUCUUAGCGGCGGACGGGUGAGUAAUGCUUAGGAAUCUGCCUAUUAGUGGGGGACAACAUUUCGAAAGGAAUGCUAAUACCGCAUACGUCCUACGGGAGAAAGCAGGGGACCUUCGGACCUUGCGCUAAUAGAUGAGCCUAAGUCGGAUUAGCUAGUUGGUGGGGUAAAGGCCUACCAAGGCGACGAUCUGUAGCGGGUCUGAGAGGAUGAUCCGCCACACUGGGACUGAGACACGGCCCAGACUCCUACGGGAGGCAGCAGUGGGGAAUAUUGGACAAUGGGCGGAAGCCUGAUCCAGCCAUGCCGCGUGUGUGAAGAAGGCCUUAUGGUUGUAAAGCACUUUAAGCGAGGAGGAGGCUACUUUAGUUAAUACCUAGAGAUAGUGGACGUUACUCGCAGAAUAAGCACCGGCUAACUCUGUGCCAGCAGCCGCGGUAA
rnacentral:rRNA from 1 species